GCUGGGCAUGGUGGUGCAUACCUGUAAUCCCAGUGAUUAGGGAGGCUGAGGCAGGAGGUCUGCAAGUUCAAGGACAGGCUCAGCAAUUUAUCAAGGUCCUAAGCAAACUGACAAAACCCUGUCUCAU
rnacentral:sRNA from 1 species